GACGAACGCUGGCGGCGUGCCUAAUACAUGCAAGUUGAGCGCUGAAGGUUGGUACUUGUACCAACUGGAUGAGCAGCGAACGGGUGAGUAACGCGUGGGGAAUCUGCCUUUGAGCGGGGGACAACAUUUGGAAACGAAUGCUAAUACCGCAUAAAAACUUUAAACACAAGUUUUAAGUUUGAAAGAUGCAAUUGCAUCGCUCAAAGAUGAUCCCGCGUUGUAUUAGCUAGUUGGUGAGGUAAAGGCUCACCAAGGCGAUGAUAUAUAGCCGACCUGAGAGGGUGAUCGGCCACAUUGGGACUGAGACACGGCCCAAACUCCUACGGGAGGCAGCAGUAGGGAAUCUUCGGCAAUGGACGAAAGUCUGACCGAGCAACGCCGCGUGAGUGAAGAAGGUUUUCGGAUCGUAAAACUCUGUUGGUAGAGAAGAACGUUGGUGAGAGUGGAAAGCUCAUCAAGUGACGGUAACUACCCAGAAAGGGACGGCUAACUACGUG
rnacentral:rRNA from 1 species